AGUGAACGCUGGCGGCAGGCCUAACACAUGCAAGUCGAACGGCAGCACAAGAGAGCUUGCUCUCUGGGUGGCGAGUGGCGGACGGGUGAGGAAUACGUCGGAAUCUGCCUAUUUGUGGGGGAUAACGUAGGGAAACUUACGCUAAUACCGCAUACGACCUACGGGUGAAAGCGGAGGACCUUCGGGCUUCGCGCAGAUAGAUGAGCCGACGUCGGAUUAGCUAGUUGGCGGGGUAAAGGCCCACCAAGGCGACGAUCCGUAGCUGGUCUGAGAGGAUGAUCAGCCACACUGGAACUGAGACACGGGCCAGACUCCUACGGGAGGAAGCAGUGGGGAAUAUUGGACAAUGGGCGCAAGCCUGAUCCAGCCAUGCCGCGUGGGUGAAGAAGGCCUUCGGGUUGUAAAGCCCUUUUGUUGGGAAAGAAAAGCAGCCGGUUAAUACCCGGUUGUCAUGACGGUACCCAAAGAAUAAGCACCGGCUAACUUCGUGCCAGCCGCCGCGGUAAAAC
rnacentral:rRNA from 1 species